rnacentral:rRNA from 1 species
UACGUAGGUCCCGAGCGUUGUCCGGAUUUAUUGGGCGUAAAGCGAGCGCAGGUGGUUUAUUAAGUCUGGUGUAAAAGGCAGUGGCUCAACCAUUGUGUGCAUUGGAAACUGGUAGACUUGAGUGCAGGAGAGGAGAGUGGAAUUCCAUGUGUAGCGGUGAAAUGCGUAGAUAUAUGGAGGAACCCCGGUGGCGAAAGCGGCUCUCUGGCCUGUAACUGACACUGAGGCUCGAAAGCGUGGGGAGCAAACAGG